rnacentral:rRNA from 1 species
AGUCGAGCGGAAGGCCCUUCGGGGUACUCGAGCGGCGAACGGGUGAGUAACACGUGAGUAAUCUGCCCCAGGCUCUGGGAUAGCCACCGGAAACGGUGAUUAAUACCGGAUACGACAACUUCCUGCAUGGGAUGGUUGUGGAAAGUUUUUCGGCCUGGGAUGUGCUCGCGGCCUAUCAGCUUGUUGGUGAGGUAAUGGCUCACCAAGGCUUCGACGGGUAGCCGGCCUGAGAGGGUGACCGGCCACACUGGGACUGAGACACGGCCCAGACUCCUACGGGAGGCAGCAGUGGGGAAUAUUGGACAAUGGGCGGAAGCCUGAUCCAGCAACGCCGCGUGAGGGAUGACGGCCUUCGGGUUGUAAACCUCUUUCAGCACAGACGAAGCGCAAGUGACGGUAUGUGCAGAAGAAGGACCGGCCAACUACGUGCCAGCAGCCGCGGUAAUACGUAGGGUCCGAGCGUUGUCCGGAAUUAUUGGGCGUAAAGGGCUCGUAGGCGGUCUGUCGCGUCGGGAGUGAAAACCAGGUGCUUAACACCUGGCCUGCUUUCGAUACGGGCAGACUAGAGGUACUCAGGGGAGAAUGGAAUUCCUGGUGUAGCGGUGAAAUGCGCAGAUAUCAGGAGGAACACCGGUGGCGAAGGCGGUUCUCUGGGAGUAUCCUGACGCUGAGGAGCGAAAGUGUGGGGAGCGAACAGGAUUAGAUACCCUGGUAGUCCACACCGUAAACGUUGGGCGCUAGGUGUGGGAUCCAUUCCACGGGUUCCG